UGAGUAACACGUGACUUAUCUACCCUCGAGUGGGGAAUAACUUCGGGAAACCGAGGCUAAUACCGCAUAAUACCCACGGGGUCAAAGGAGCAAUUCGCUUGAGGAGGAGGUCGCGGCCGAUUAGUUAGUUGGCGGGGUAAUGGCCCCACCAAGACGGUGAUCGGUAUCCGGCCUGAGAGGGCGCACGGACACACUGGAACUGAAACACGGUCCAGACUCCUACGGGAGGCAGCAGUGGGGAAUUUUGCGCAAUGGGGGAAACCCUGACGCAGCAACGCCGCGUGGAGGAUGAAGUCUCUUGGGACGUAAACUCCUUUCGAUCGGGACGAUUAUGACGGUACCGGAAGAAGAAGCCCCGGCUAACUUCGUG
rnacentral:rRNA from 1 species